rnacentral:rRNA from 1 species
GAUGAACGCUGGCGGCGUGCCUAAUACAUGCAAGUCGAGCGAACGGACGAUAAGCUUUCUUCUUUGAUGUUAGCGGCUGACGGGUGAGUAACACGUGCAUAACCUUCUUAUUUUUCUUGGAUAACUUCGUGAAACCGUUUCUAAUACCACCUAAUAUUUUCUACCGCUUGGUUCAAAAGUUAUUCACGCUUUUCCUGUCUCUUUUAGCUGGUUCCGUGCUGGAUUAUCUAGUUGGUAAGGUAACGGCCUACCAAGGCAACGAUGCGUAGCUGAACUGAGAGGGUGAUCGGCCACACUGGAACUGAGACACGGUCCAGACUCCUACGGGAGGCAGCAGUAGGGAAUAUUGGGCAAUGGGCGAAAGCCUGACGGAGCAAAGCCGCGUGAGUGAAGAAGGUCUUCGGAUCGUAAAGCUCUGUUAUUAGGAAAGAAAAGAAGUGUAAGAAAAUGUGGACAUAUUGACGGUACCUAAAGAAAAAGCAACGGCUAACUACGUG